AUCCAUCUGACGAGUCCCAAAUGGGGCAAAACGCGCAUCCUGGAU
rnacentral:hammerhead_ribozyme from 1 species